GGACAUGAGGUCAGCCUGGCUGCAACAUCCAGCACCCUGACUGCCAGGGUGAAUUCAGCCGAUCUGGCUGCUAAGCAGGUGCCCCCUUCCUCCCUCACCCCUCUGUGCAUCUGUCCUGAAGCUUUGAGCUCUUGUCGAAGAAGAAGAACUCCCAGGUGGAGGAGGACCAUCCUUGGGUCGAGGGUAUAUGAGUAGCUGUGCUGUCCUGCUAGAACCUUCAAACAAGCUCUGAAGAGGCCCAGGAUGGACCCCUGAAGGCAAAACAAGCCGCAAGUGAAAAGCUGCUGAGAUGGGGACAAGCCCACCAAGGUCCCUC
ensembl:misc_RNA 7SK 7SK RNA